rnacentral:rRNA from 1 species
UACAGAGGGUGCAAGCGUUAAUCGGAAUUACUGGGCGUAAAGCGCGCGUAGGUGGUUGGUUAAGUUGGAUGUGAAAUCCCCGGGCUCAACCUGGGAACUGCAUUCAAAACUGACAAGCUAGAGUAUGGUAGAGGGUGGUGGAAUUUCCUGUGUAGCGGUGAAAUGCGUAGAUAUAGGAAGGAACACCAGUGGCGAAGGCGACCACCUGGACUGAUACUGACACUGAGGUGCGAAAGCGUGGGGAGCAAACAGG